rnacentral:pre_miRNA from 1 species
AGAGGGAUAGCUGGGUCAAAUGGUGGUUCCAUUCCCAGAUUUCCAAGGAAUCUCCAUACUGCUUUCUAUAUUGGCUGCACCAGUUUGCAGUCCCACCAGCAAU